CCCUUAGAUGUCCUGGGCCGCACGCGCGCUACACUGACAUGUUCAACAGGCCUCCUAGUUCGACAGGAUUUGGGAAAUCUUUGAACGCAUGUCGUGAUAGGGAUAGAUCAUUGCAAUUAUUGAUCUUGAACGAGGAAUUCCUAGUAAACGCGAGUCAUCAGCUCGCAUUGAUUACGUCCCUGCCCUUUGUACACACCGCCCGUCGCACCUACCGAUUGAAUGUUUCGGUGAAGAUUCCGGAUAGGACUUUUUUGAUUUAUUUCAAUUCUGUCUUAAAAGCUAUCUAAACCUCAACAUUUAGAGGAAGGUGAAGUCGUAACA
rnacentral:rRNA from 1 species